rnacentral:lncRNA from 1 species
AAUUGUACUCUUGGAAGCUGUAGGGUCACCUGAGCAUAAAAGAUGAUGUUAUUUGUAAUUCAAUGGUACAACAGUGUAAGACUUUGCUUCGAGAUAUACUUAGAUUGUGAUUUCUGCAAUGUGGUGCAUAAAUUGUCAAGUAAAGGACAAGCAUCUUUGCCUCCACUGAUUCAGUUGCAAAGUGUUGAGUAAAGUUAUUUCGUUCCAGACCUCCUUUAAGUCAUUUUAUUAUCACUGGGUCAGAGAUAGUCCCCAGAUGUUAACAUUGAUUUCAAGGCCUUCCCAGAUAAGUGACUGGUUAUUCAAAGAGAUUUAUAGAUUGCAAAUUUAUUCUGUCCAGUUACCUAUUGGUAUAGUGAUCAUUGGCAAAUUCCAGAGGUGACACUUUCAUUUCCCCUUAGCCCUCAUGUCACACAGUUGUUAAUGUUUACUUGCUUUGGGUUACGCCCUUCCAAUUGCAUCUUAUGGCUGUAUGGUGAGGAAUCCUACAUUGGGGAGUGGUAACGACUAGGGUAAGGUAGCUGACUGGUUAUUGUAAUCAUUUGUCUUUUGGUUUCCUGUAGCUUUGCUCUCUUUUAUAAACUCAGUGAACAUACAUAUAUUUCUGAUUUCAAAGAAAUUUGAACAAUAGAUAUAAGACCCAACAUAAAAAGAUUCCCAACAAUUCAACUUUUUUGGUUGACUUUAAGACAUCCCCACCACCACCUCUGGGGGGCUUAACCACCACAUUUUAGAGCUCCAUGAGCUCCAUUUUUCAGGAGCAAAACCUUUUGAAUAGUUUCCAUAAGAUUUUAAUUUUGGAAUCUAGGCAUAAAGACAAGUAGUAUGGGAUAAAUGUGUCAUGAUUAGAAUUUGUGUUGCAGUGUGUAGUGCCAUUGGAUUGCAUUGAGUUUUACUGUUAGUUUAACACUUUGUGACAACCACAAUCAGGAGCAAUAUUCUUGGUGACUGAGAACAGAACAAAUAUUCUCCAUAGCAGUAACAUUCUUUUUCCUGGUUCUGAAUGACUCAGAAUCUAACCAGCAACGCACCUGAUACAAUAUCAUCAUCAUGGUUAAAUGCACUAGAAUGUUGCAUCAUUACUCAUGUGGAUUCACAGGUCAUACAUCAGCUCUGACUCUAGGAUUUUGUGUAUUGCAAUUGCAAUCUGCUUGUGGCCUGAUUGUCAACUGCUUGAUACUUCUCGGCAUUGAAUAGCAUUUUAUUUUUAUUAGCCCACUUACAUAUUGCAUUCAGUUCUCUCUAUGGUUUUAGGGUGUCAUCAGGGGCUUUGAUUACCUAUAAUACUUUUGUAUCAUCAGCAUUGCUGGUAAGAGUUAUUGACUGUAUGACCAAGGGCAUAUCUGAGAGAGCUGUCACAGAAGUAGUGAGUGACACUACAGAAAGUUGGUGUUUCCUCAGAGAAAGAGAGAGAGAGAUCGUCAUUGGCUGUAACUGUGUGACUUCUGGCUUUCAUGAUUACAUAUGUAAUGGUGUUGGACAAAAUAAUGGACACACCUAGCAUCAUAACAUCAUAAUUUUGAAAGCUUGUUUAUUUUUAUGUUUUUUGAUUUAUUAUUAGUGUUGCUUAAUAUGUUUUAUUAAAAUUGCUGUUUCUUUUCAGAUAUCAUCAGAAAAAGUUAAUUAAAAUUCUUUAAAAUGACAGAUCUGUCGGACUUUCAAAGAGGUCAAAUUAUUGGUGCUCAUAUGACAAGCACUAGCAUAAUGAAAACAGACGAAAUGUUUGGUGUAUCAAAAAGUACUGUCUUGAAAGUAAUGACAGCCUUUGAGAAAGAGGGAAAAACCUCCUCGUCAAAACAAAACUCCGGAUGAAAACCAAAACUUUCAGAUAGGGACAGUCAGACUCUUACACAAAUUGUUACAAAGGAUCACAAAAGUACAACUCCCAAAAUUUCUGCAGUGCUUAAUGACCACCUCAAGAACCAGUUUCCACAAAAACUGUUUGCUGGGAGCUGUACAAAACUAGAUUUCACAGGAGGGCUGCAAUCACAAAACCACUAUUUUUGAAAACAAAUGUUGCAAAGCAUUUAGAGUGGAGUAAAAACCUACAGAAUUGGUCCCUAGAGCAGUGGAACAAUGUUAUUUUCUUGGACGAGUCAUCCUUUACCUUAUUUCUGACCACUGACCAAGUAUACAUGUAGAGACAGCCAAAAGAAGCCUUUGACCCAGACUGCCUUCUUCCAACUGUUAAAUGUGGAGGAGGAUCUGUGGUGAUCUGGAGGGCUAUACCUUGGAAAUCUGCUGGCCCAAUGGUUUUCCUAAUGGCAGAAUUAAUAGUUAAGACUGUUUAAGCAUUUUAUCUGAUCAAAUUCAUCCUAUGGUUGUGGAACUGUUUCCGGAGGGAAACACAGUCUUUUAGGAUGAUAAUGCACCAAUUCGCACAGCUAAAAUUGUUACUGAAUGGCACAAGGAACAUUCUAGGGAAGUUGAACAUCUUAUCUGGCCACCACAGUCCCCAGAUCUCACUAUUAUUGAACAUUUAUUGUGCAUUUUAGAAAAAUAAAUAAGGAGUUGAUAUUGUCCACCAGCAUCACAACAAGAACUGGAGAUUGUUUUAGUUAAAGAAUGGACAAAAAUUUCUUUGGAAACAAUUCAAACUUUGUACGAGUCCAUACCUCAUAGAAUUCAAG